rnacentral:rRNA from 1 species
CCUACGGGAGGCAGCAGUGAGGAAUAUUGGUCAAUGGGCGUAAGCCUGAACCAGCCAAGUCGCGUGAGGGAUGAAGGUUCUAUGGAUCGUAAACCUCUUUUAUAAGGGAAUAAAGUGCGGGACGUGUCCCGUUUUGUAUGUAACUUAUGAAUAAGGAUCGGCUAACUCCGUGCCAGCAGCCGCGGUAAUACGGAGGAUCCGAGCGUUAUCCGGAUUUAGUGGGUUUAAAGGGUGCGUAGGCGGCCUUUUAAGUCAGCGGUGAAAUUCUGUGGCUCAACCAUAGAAUUGCCGUUGAAACUGGGAGGCUUGAGUAUGUUUGAGGCAGGCGGAAUGCGUGGUGUAGCGGUGAAAUGCUUAGAUAUCACGCAGAACCCCGAUUGCGAAGGCAGCCUGCCAAGCCAUGACUGACGCUGAUGCACGAAAGCGUGGGGAUCAAACAGGAUUAGAUACCCCAGUAGUC